AAGAUUCCUGAAGUUUUGGGUUUAGCAAGGACUGAAUCAAAGCUGUUACUUUUGAUUUUUGCUGCCUUCUCUCUCGCCUCUCGCUUGCAUUGCUGAAAUCCUCACUUUAUUUUUGCUUUGUUAUGAUAUCCAGGUACUUCUUGGACCAUGAAUGACCUGUGAAUGUGAGCAUGUUUUUCCAUUUGAAAUAUGUAACUGAAAAUGUAAAAAUCUAAUGCUAAAUGUUGCCUUUUAAUUUUAUUCAUAUGUGUUCUUCCAAGUUCAUCUAGCCUCUUUAUUAGUUUUAGCUUUCUGCAGCUCUUAUGUAGUUUGUUCUAGGAUUUGUUUGAUGGCCACUCGCUUAGUGGGAAAUGUUAUACGUGAG
rnacentral:lncRNA from 1 species